rnacentral:tRNA from 1 species
AUCUUUUUAGUACAAAAAGUAUAAUUGGCCUCCAACCAAAAGAUUAAAAAAAAUUAAAAAGAUA